UACGUAGGGGGCGAGCGUUGUCCGGAAUUAUUGGGCGUAAAGAGCUUGUAGGCGGUUUGUCGCGUCUGCUGUGAAAAUCCGGGGCUCAACCCCGGACUUGCAGUGGGUACGGGCAGACUAGAGUGUGGUAGGGGAGACUGGAAUUCCUGGUGUAGCGGUGAAAUGCGCAGAUAUCAGGAGGAACACCGAUGGCGAAGGCAGGUCUCUGGGCAGUUACUGACGCUGAGGAGCGAAAGCAUGGGUAGCGAACAGAAUUAGAUACCCCCGUAGU
rnacentral:rRNA from 1 species